AUAAUACAAAUUAAAAAUAAAUUUACCAAAUUAUAUAAUUGCAGCUCAUUUUGGUGCAUUAAGUUAUCCGUGUCUGAAUGUAUUCAACAAAUCAAUGUCCUCUUCAUCUGCCUUCAAAUUUCUUUAUGUCUGACAAAUCUUCACUCAGUAUGUUUUUGCAAUCUAUUCAUCACUGAUAGCUAUAAUGUAUACUGAAUAACAAUAA